rnacentral:rRNA from 1 species
CCCAGACUCCUACGGGAGGCAGCAGUGGGGAAUAUUGCACAAUGGGGGGAACCCUGAUGCAGCGACGCCGCGUGGGUGAAGGAGUACUUCGGUACGUAAAGCCCUAUCAGCAGGAAAGAAAAUGACGGUACCUGACUAAGAAGCCCCGGCUAACUACGUGCCAGCAGCCGCGGUAAUACGUAGGGGGCAAGCGUUAUCCGGAUUUACUGGGUGUAAAGGGAGCGUAGACGGCAGUGCAAGUCCGGAGUGAAAGCCCGGGGCUCAACCCUGGGACUGCUCUGGAAACUGUAAAGCUGGAGUGCGGGAGGGGCAGGCGGAAUUCCUGGUGUAGCGGUGAAAUGCGUAGAUAUCACGCAGAACUCCGAUUGCGAAGGCAGCGUACCGGCGCCCAACUGACGCUGAAGCACGAAGGCGUGGGUAUCGAACAGGAUUAGAUACCCCUGUA